CCAGUUGGUCGGAGAACCGCGCCUCCUUCGGGAGGUGAGGAAAGUCCGGACUUCACGGAAGCACGGUGCCGGUUAACGACCGGGCAGGGUGACUUGACGGAAAGUGCAACAGAAAGCAAACCGCCGAUGGCCUGUUUUACAGGAUCAGGUAAGGAUGAAACGGUGCGGUAAGAGCGCACCACUCGUUCAGCAAUGAACAGGUACGGCAAACCCCACCGGAAGCAAGACCAAAUAGGGGCGGCGCAUGAUCUGUUUCCGGAUCGUCGCCCGGGUAGGUUGCUGGAGGCAAGUGGUAACAUUUGUCCAAGAGGAAUGGUUCUCGUCAAGGCUCGAAAGAGCCAAGACACAGAAUCCGGCUUAUAGACCGACUGGCUUU
rnacentral:RNase_P_RNA from 1 species